rnacentral:misc_RNA from 1 species
AACUGAUACUACCUGCGGGAACCUGCGGAGGGAUCAUUAAUGAUUGGCCUCACGGCCUUAUCAAUAAUCAAUCCCAACACCCCUGUGAACCGUCUUCGGUCCCCCGGGCCGAUCUUUUUACAACACGAACGCUGUGUAACGAACGUCAUGUUAUAUUGAAAAAAGCAAAACUUUUAGCAACGGAUCUCU